ACUUUCAAAGGACAGAAGUAAUCCU
rnacentral:tRNA from 1 species